UACGUAGGUGGCAAGCGUUAUCCGGAAUUACUGGGCGUAAAGGGCACGUAGGCGGUGAAUCGGGUUGAAAGUGAAAGUCGCCAAAAAGUGGCGGAAUGCUCUCGAAACCAAUUCACUUGAGUGAGACAGAGGAGAGUGGAAUUUCGUGUGUAGGGGUGAAAUCCGUAGAUCUACGAAGGAACGCCAAAAGCGAAGGCAGCUCUCUGGGUCCCUACCGACGCUGGGGUGCGAAAGCAGGGGGAGCGAACAGG
rnacentral:rRNA from 1 species